rnacentral:rRNA from 1 species
GACGAACGCUGGCGGCGUGCCUAAUACAUGCAAGUAGAACGCUGAAGGAGGAGCUUGCUUCUCCGGAUGAGUUGCGAACGGGUGAGUAACGCGUAGGUAACCUGCCUGGUAGCGGGGGAUAACUAUUGGAAACGAUAGCUAAUACCGCAUAAGAGUAGAUGUUGCAUGACAUUUGCUUAAAAGGUGCAAUUGCAUCACUACCAGAUGGACCUGCGUUGUAUUAGCUAGUUGGUGGGGUAACGGCUCACCAAGGCGACGAUACAUAGCCGACCUGAGAGGGUGAUCGGCCACACUGGGACUGAGACACGGCCCAGACUCCUACGGGAGGCAGCAGUAGGGAAUCUUCGGCAAUGGACGGAAGUCUGACCGAGCAACGCCGCGUGAGUGAAGAAGGUUUUCGGAUCGUAAAGCUCUGUUGUAAGAGAAGAACGAGUGUGAGAGUGGAAAGUUCACACUGUGACGGUAUCUUACCAGAAAGGGACGGCUAACUACGUGCCAGCAGCCGCGGUAAUACGUAGGUCCCGAGCGUUGUCCGGAUUUAUUGGGCGUAAAGCGAGCGCAGGCGGUUAGAUAAGUCUGAAGUUAAAGGCUGUGGCUUAACCAUAGUACGCUUUGGAAACUGUUUAACUUGAGUGCAAGAGGGGAGAGUGGAAUUCCAUGUGUAGCGGUGAAAUGCGUAGAUAUAUGGAGGAACACCGGUGGCGAAAGCGGCUCUCUGGCUUGUAACUGACGCUGAGGCUCGAAAGCGUGGGGAGNNNACAGG